UACGUAGGUGGCAAGCGUUGUCCGGAAUUAUUGGGCGUAAAGCGCGCGCAGGCGGUUCUUUAAGUCUGGUGUGAAAGCCCACGGCUCAACCGUGGAGGGUCAUUGGAAACUGGGGAACUUGAGUACAGAAGAGGAAAGCGGAAUUCCACGUGUAGCGGUGAAAUGCGUAGAGAUGUGGAGGAACACCAGUGGCGAAGGCGGCUUUCUGGGCUGUAACUGACGCUGAGGCGCGAAAGCGUGGGGAGCAAACAGG
rnacentral:rRNA from 1 species